CCUACGGGUGGCAGCAGUGAGGAAUAUUGGUCAAUGGCCGGGAGGCUGAACCAGCCAAGUCGCGUGAGGGAAGACUGCCCUACGGGUUGUAAACCUCUUUUGUCUGGGAGCAAAGUGCAGGUCGGGACGUGCUGUGAGAGUACCUUAAGAAAAAGCAUCGGCUAACUCCGUGCCAGCAGCCGCGGUAAUACGGAGGAUGCGAGCGUUUUCCGGAUUUAUUUGGUUUAAAGGGUGCGUAGGUGGAGGCAGAAGUCAGUGGUUAAAGUCAGGGGCUCAACCCUGCACCGGCAGUUGAACCGGGGUCCAUUGAGUGCAGGAGAGGUAGGCGGAAUGCGUGGUGUAGCGGUGAAAUGCAUAGAUAUCACGAAGAACUCCGAUUGCGAAGGCAGCCCACUGGAGCGCAACUGACGCUGAUGCACGAAAGUGUGGGUAUCGAACAGGAUUAGAUACCCCUGUAGUC
rnacentral:rRNA from 1 species